CCAAAUGCAGGACGCUGAGACAGAGGAAUAAACUCAAAGUGCUGCUUUAUUGCUGAAAAAACUAACAUUGACUACAAAACUAAACUGGAAAGAAGAAACUUCAACUAGAAACCAAACUUGGAAUUUGAACAGGAGCACAAGUGAAACACAGAGCAAGGAAAACACAGGGCUUAAUACACACCGGAGUAAUCAGGGAAUGAGACACAGAAGGAGAGCACAGCUGGGAGUAAUCAGAGGUAACAAGACAAGGAUACAUUCUCUUCAGCAGCAGGUUGACUGUGCCCAAACCAGCGUGGAUAACCUUGUGCUAAAUAUCAACAGCAGUGAAGACAUCCCGCAGGAUCAAAAGCUGCUGAAACAAAAAAAGGCAGAUCCCCAUCUUUUUGUAAACACUCAGUCGCAUGACUCCUUUAUGACAGCGGAUGAAGAGCCACAGACGAUAAAGUACGAAGAAAACGCACCACAAAAGGAGUGUAUUAACUGUCAACAAGCAAUGAAAACUCUGCUGUCCUCCCAAGAGGAGUGUGAGGCACUUAAAAAGGAGAUCUGCGAAACCCUGAAAUGCAUUGAUGAGGAGCGAAGCAAAUUCCACAAGAUGAAGCAAAAACACAAGGCCAAACUUUGCAGAGCCAAACAGAAAUUUGAAGAUGAAACCACAUGGCGUGAUGAGAAGAUAAAAAGUCUAGAGAGAGAAUUGUCCUUGUGCUGUCAUUCAGUAGCAAAGGAGAAGGAGCUUGUCAUAAGCAUAACUGUGGAAAAUGAGAAACUACUCUCUGAGAGGAGGAAGCUACUGCAACAGCUAAACGAGGAGGAGCACAAGAAGAAGGAUAGUUGUCUAAAAGCUUCUUUAUCCAAAUGCAGGGUGGAACUUUUAGAGCUGGAAAACAAGAAACUCGGAAACCAAAUAUCACAAAUGUCCAACCAGCUCGCUGUCCUGGAGUUCAGCCUGCAGAAGACACAGCUGCUUCACUUUGCUGAGAAACUUAAGAAAAUGCCAGAUGACCAGCAAGUUUUCAAGUCUCUUCCUCAGCAGUCUUCAAGUGUGAUUUCACCCGAGCUGUCUGAAGCUCAGGGCUUGUUGGAUGGUACACUUAGAGGUCACUCCAAGCAGACAGAUGGGACUUGUUACAGUCAUGCGUCUGAGAUUUUGUGUCAGUCAGCAGAUAUGAGCUACCUGAACCUGACCUCCACACAAAAAAACCACUUGGACCGCUCACCUCCCCUGGCUGCCCUCAGCAGCCUUGAAAAUCUGCCUUCCUGAAGUUUUCUGUUUUGAGUGUGAUCAUGAACUAUUUUAUUUGUAUGUUAAAUUAAUAAAUAAGAUACAAAAUGGGUUUGAAUUUCAUUAAAUCAAAUUAAACCAGCCUGA
ensembl:lncRNA